GACGUAGGAGGCGAGCGUUAUCCGGAUUCACUGGGCGUAAAGCGCGUGUAGGCGGUUGCACAAGUCCGUUGUUAAAGCCCCUGGCUCAACUGGGGGAGGUCAAUGGAGACUGUGCGACUUGAGGGCAGUAGAGGCACGUGGAACUCCCGGUGUAGCGGUGGAAUGCGUAGAGAUCGGGAAGAACACCAGUGGCGAAGGCGACGUGCUGGGCUGCAACUGACGCUGAGAUGCGAAAGUGUGGGGAGCAAACGGG
rnacentral:rRNA from 1 species